GUGCACGCUGGCGGUAGGCCUAACACAUGCAAGUCGAACGGCAGCACAGUAAGAGCUUGCUCUUACGGGUGGCGAGUGGCGGACGGGUGAGGAAUACAUCGGAAUCUACUUUUUCGUGGGGGAUAACGUAGGGAAACUUACGCUAAUACCGCAUACGACCUACGGGUGAAAGCAGGGGAUCUUCGGACCUUGCGCGAUUGAAUGAGCCGAUGUCGGAUUAGCUAGUUGGCGGGGUAAAGGCCCACCAAGGCGACGAUCCGUAGCUGGUCUGAGAGGAUGAUCAGCCACACUGGAACUGAGACACGGUCCAGACUCCUACGGGAGGCAGCAGUGGGGAAUAUUGGACAAUGGGCGCAAGCCUGAUCCAGCCAUACCGCGUGGGUGAAGAAGGUCUUCGGGUUGUAAAGCCCUUUUGUUGGGAAAGAAAAGCAGCAGGUUAAUACCCCGCUGUUCUGACGGUACCCAAAGAAUAAGCACCGGCUAACUUCGUG
rnacentral:rRNA from 1 species